AACGAACGCUGGCGGCAUGCCUAACACAUGCAAGUCGAACGAGACCUUCGGGUCUAGUGGCGCACGGGUGCGUAACGCGUGGGAACCUGCCCUUAGGUUCGGAAUAACUCCCCGAAAGGGGUGCUAAUACCGGAUAAUGUCUUCGGACCAAAGAUUUAUCGCCUUUGGAUGGGCCCGCGUUGGAUUAGCUAGUUGGUAGGGUAAAAGCCUACCAAGGCGACGAUCCAUAGCUGGUCUGAGAGGAUGAGCAGCCACACUGGGACUGAGACACGGCCCAGACUCCUACGGGAUGCAGGAGUGGGGAAUAGUGGACAAUGGGCGAAAGCCUGAUCCAGCAAUGACGCGUAAGUGAUGAAGGCAUGAGGGUUGUAAAGCUCUUUUACCCGGGAUGAUAAUGACAGUACCGGGAGAAUAAGCUCCGGCUAACUCCGUG
rnacentral:rRNA from 1 species